rnacentral:rRNA from 1 species
GAUGAACGCUGGCGGCGUGCUUAAUACAUGCAAGUCGAGCGAACGGACGCGAAGCUUGCUUCUCUGAUGUUUGCGGCGGACGGGGGAGUAACACGUGGAUAACCCACCUAUAAGACUGGGAUAACUUCGGGAAACCGGAGCUUAUACCGGAUAAUAUUUUUAACCGCAUGGUUUAAAUGUGAAAGACGGUCUUGCUGUCACUUAUAGAUGGAUCCGCGCUGCAUUAGCUAGUUGGUAAGGUAACGGCUUACCAAGGCAACGAUGCAUAGCCGACCUGAGAGAGUGGUCGGCGACACUAGAAGUGGAACGCGGCCACUGCUACUACGAGAGGGAGCAGUAGGCAAUCGGCCGCAGUAGUGGGGAAUAUUGCGGAACGAGCGCAAGUGUGAGGUAGAGGUGUCCCGUUCGUGAUACUGUGUUAUUGGGGAAAAACAUAUGUGUACAUAACUGAACAGAACGUGACGGUACCUGCACAAAAAGCCACGGCUAACUACGUG